GUGGGGAAUAUUGGACAAUGGGCGGAAGCCUGAUCCAGCCAUGCCGCGUGUGUGAAGAAGGCCUUUUGGUUGUAAAGCACUUUAAGCGAGGAGGAGGCUCCCUUAGUUAAUACCUAAAGUGAGUGGACGUUACUCGCAGAAUAAGCACCGGCUAACUCUGUGCCAGCAGCCGCGGUAAUACAGAGGGUGCGAGCGUUAAUCGGAUUUACUGGGCGUAAAGCGUGCGUAGGCGGCUUUUUAAGUCGGAUGUGAAAUCCCUGAGCUUAACUUAGGAAUUGCAUUCGAUACUGGAAAGCUAGAGUAUGGGAGAGGAUGGUAGAAUUCCAGGUGUAGCGGUGAAAUGCGUAGAGAUCUGGAGGAAUACCGAUGGCGAAGGCAGCCAUCUGGCCUAAUACUGACGCUGAGGUACGAAAGCAUGGGGAGCAAACAGGAUUAGAUACCCCAGUAGUCC
rnacentral:rRNA from 1 species